rnacentral:rRNA from 1 species
AGGAAGGAAAGCUUGCUUUUCUGAAUCUAGUGGCGAACGGGUGAGUAACACGUAGGUAACCUGCCUCAUACAGGGGGAUAACAGUUAGAAAUGACUGCUAAUACCGCAUAAGCGCACGGUUCCGCAUGGAACAGUGUGAAAAACUCCGGUGGUGUGAGAUGGAUCCGCGUCUGAUUAGCCAGUUGGCGGGGUAACGGCCCACCAAGGCGACGAUCAGUAGCCGACCUGAGAGGGUGAUCGGCCACAUUGGGACUGAGACACGGCCCAAACUCC